AUUUCAAAGAAUUACAAGCAAGGAAUAAAUGUGACUAUCUCCAAGUUGCAAAUGUGAGUUAAAAUUGUUUGAAAGAGCAUUUAUUCACUGAAAAUAAACUGUACACAUACACAAUAAGGGAUAUUGAUGAACUAUUAAUAGUUAUUAUCUCGAGGAAGUAUAUACAUACAGAAUUAUGCACUUAAAAUAAAAAUUUUAUCCUGUUAGUUUGCAAGUUCUUUCUACAUGAAAUGCAUGAACAGAUCAUGCUUUCUUGGUUUUACUGUGUUGCUCACGUAAAGAUUAUUCAGGUGAUGGCUUGGCACGGUGGCUCAUGCUUGUGAUCCCAGCACUUUGGGAGGCCGAGGCAGGCAGAUCACUUGAGAUCAGGAGUUCAAGAUCAGCCUGGCCAACAUGGUGAAACCCUGUCUCUACCAAAAAUACAAAAAUUAGCCGGCUGUGGUGGCACAUGCCUGUAGUCCCAGCUACUUGGGAGGGUGAGGCAGGAGAAUCGCUUGAACGUCGGAGGCAGAGGUUGCAGUGAACUGAGAUCACACCAUUGCACUCCAGCCUGGGCAACAGGGUGAGACUCUGUUUAAAAAAAAAAAAAUUUCUUCAGGUGACCCAACAUGGAGGAGUGAGCCGUCAAAGUCAGACGAUCUAAGCUUCCAGACUGUUUUGAACCUCCCAUCUUCCAUUUCUUCUUGGAAUCUGCAUAUCAAAAUUAAAAUAUUUUGGGGGACCAGUUUUACUGAGUGGAAUUAAACUAUCCAGCAUUUUAAAAUAUGUUGGACAUGUUUUUAAGAGGAAGAUCUUGUUCAGCUUUUGGCUCCUGCUUGAGCAAGCUCAAGGAGCAAAUGCUGAAACAUCUCCCCACUGCAAUGUCAACUCAUUAAUGAGAAGCAAAGUCCAACUGAAUUCAGCUGCAAAUUUCAGCAUUAACAAAAUCUGAGCCAACUUCAGGACAAAGCCGAAAGGAACUAAUGUACCAUAAAUUUACCCAUGCCAACCUCUACGCUGCAGACAAGGCAAGGAGAAUGUGUGGGUUCUGAGCAAGGGCAGGGCAGGGAGGGUUCUCUCCUUCAGGAUGUGAUCAUUUCAAUGUGCCUAAUUCAGUAGAAAUGUUUUUAUUCAAAUGAAGAGAGGGCUUUAGUUAUCCUGGAUGGGGAAUUUAUUUUACCACUACAGAAAAGGCACUGGGAAUUAAACAUUUUUAAGAUUACAAGUAAAUGGAUUCUUGGAGGCAAAUGGAUUGUUGAUACCAGUUUUCUCCCAUUCAUUUUUUUUGAAGAGGAUAAAAUAGACUUUCCUUUGUGGCCUGGGAAAGGAAGUAGCUGGGGCGGGGUGCCAUGCUGUGGCAGGCUGUAGGAAGAUAGGCAGGCCCUUGUGGUAGAAGCCCUUUUGGCUGCUUGCAUCAGUGGUUACAAGGAAGAAAUCAGGGAUACAUUUGCAAUAAAGAGAAAUAAUCUGCUGGGCACGGUGGCUUACAUCUGUAAUCCCAGUACUUUGGGAAGCCGAGGCAGGCAGGUCACCUGAGGUCAGGAGUUCGAGACCAGCCUGACCAACAUGGAGAAACCUCAUCUCUACUAAAAAAAGACAAAAUUAGCUGGGCGUGGUGAUACAUGCCUGUAAUCCUAGCUACUUGGGAGGCUGAGACAGGAGAAUCGCUUGAGCCCAGGAGAUGGAGGUUGCCGUGAGCCGAGAUAACGCCAUUGAACUCCAGCCUGGGCGAUAAGAGUGAAACGCUGUGUUGGCCAGGCUGGUCUGGAACUCCUCACCUCAGGUGAUCUACCCACCUUGGCCUCUCAAAGUGCUGGGAUUACAGGCGUGAGCCACUGUGCCUGGCCUUUAAAAGCUUUUCAGUUGAAAGGUAAUCUUGGAACACAGGUGGGUUCCAGUUGCUUGGAGCAUGAGGAACACCUGAUUGAAUGUCCUAACGUCAGACGUGUGUCUGCAAGUGGAAAGUGAAGCCUGCUGCAGGAAGAGGGAGGUGGUUGGUGCUUCCUAGAAGGGGUGGGCCUUUAAUGACUGCACCUGCACAGUGCUAUCAGGUCCUUAUUGUGGGACCGAAUCACUGACAUCCUAAUGAAAAAAUUAGCUAGGCCAUUUGCAGGUACAAGAGCACAGGUGGUCCUUGUGCUCUUUUUUGAUUCGUUUGAAGGUAGGUGUGAUUUGCCUUCAGGACUUCAUCAGCAACAAUAGGAUUUGAAUAAGUGGAUAGGCUGCUGUAUGUGGUUGUGUACAAUUUUUAAAGGGCUCUUGUACACAGGGUGGGGUGUGGGCAGGGAGAACAAAGCAUGGUCCCCAGUGAUGUUUAGUAAAAAUAUGUCUAGAAAGUUAAUAAAACUCUGGUCUGUGCUUAAGGCAAUAACAACAUGAGUCUCUGGCAUGAAUCUGUGUCCUGUUUAGAGGACAGGUUGUUUGUAAUCAACCCUUAUUCUGUCAUCUAGAGUUCCGUGUUUUAAGCAAUGAAGACAGAAACUCUAUCAAAAGUUUCAUGCCUCAGAAAUUUGUUUUAUCUUUACUUUGUGAGUUUAUAAAACUUCAUGUACCCUGAAUCUUUCUUAUGUCUUCGUGGAAAAUAAUUUUGGGGGAGCACUUUUUUCUCACCCUAAUAAACAUGAAAAAGACUUUCAGAACAGAAGUACUUUAGAUCUAGCAGAUCUAGCAAACCAGAUGCUGCUUUUCUGCUUUUGAUUCUAAAAUAUGCAUAUUCCUUUCCUGCAGCUGGGCAGCACAUGACAAGAAAAAGAAAAGACUUCUGACAGCCCUUUUAUUCAUCCAGUAAAUGUGAGCAACUCAAAUAUUAGCCUAAGGAACACUCAAAAGGUAGCAUCUGAGAGACAGGCUAAGUUGAUGGUUCUUCAUUAGGCAGCUAUGUGUUUGGAUAUAAAGACUGAUGAUGAACUUGGUUGUCUCCGAGACCAGUACUUCCCCUAUUUCACUGUGUAUACAAAUCACUUGGGGGUCCUGUUAAAAAUGCAGAUUCUGAUUCAGUAGGUCUGGGCUGGGCCUGAAAUUCCACAGUCCUUGGUAGCUCCCAGGUAAUGCUGACGCUGCUGGUUCCCAGGCCACAUCUUGAGUCACAAGGGGCUGGACAAUUUCUUGUUCUAACAAAGGCCUGGAGAAGGCAAUUUUCUGGAAUGGCAGAUGGAGACACCCUCAGAUUUCCCAGAAAUAUGAACAGAAAAAAGACGAUUUAAUGACUUAAAAGUCAGAACAUGGCACAAAAUAAAUUGUAAUGUUAAAAAAUGCAUAGAAUAGGCUGGGUGCAGUGGCUCACGCCUGUAAUCCCAGCAUUUUGGGAGGCCAAGGCGGGCGGAUCACAAGGUCAGGAAGAUUGAGAACAUCCUGGCUAAUACGGUGAAACCCCGUCUCUACUAAAAAUACAAAAAAAAAUUAGCUGGGCGUGGUGGCGGGAACCUGUAGUCCCAGCUACUUGGGAGACUGAGGCAGAAUGGCGUGAACCUGGGAGGGGAGCUUGCAGUGAGCUGAGAUCGUGCCACUGCACUCCAGCCUGGGCGACAGAGCGAGACUCCGUCUCAAAAAAAAAAAAGCAUAAAAUAAUAUUCCAAUAAUUAUGACACAGGCACACAGAAUCACCAUUACAUAAGAUGCAGAUUGUAAGAACGCCAUCCCGUGAGCAGGUCAGCCUGCUUCCCUUGACGAUCAUUUCCUCUGCAGAGAUUACAUUAGGAGGAACAUGAACUGUUGCAAUUGGGAUAAAAUUCUGCUGAGAUGUACUUAAACAGUAAUUACUGUUUACUCAGAGCAGAAAACAAUUUAAACCAGGUGAUGAGAAGGAUGUAGAAUUCAUUAGUUUUCUUGCCCACAGCUCCUCUAGGAGAAAAGAAUCUGAUUGCUUGAAAAAAAAUUGAUUUAAAAAAUGGCAAAUGGAGGUAAUUUUAGAUAUGUAUUCACAAAGCUGCCCCAAACAUACUGCCCUAUUCAGAAGUUGUUUCUAUUUUUUUUCCCCCAAAGAACUAACAUAAGCUCAAAAGAUUGAGACAGACUUGCACAGAAUCACUGGGAGGCUAAGUGUGCUGAGGUUGCUUCAAGGCAUGACUCAGGUGUGGGCCCUGGAGACCCUCUCCUUGUAGAGCCUCACACAUCAUUUCCCCUGUAACACUGAUCAGAUUCUGUUUGGCAAAGAUCACAGCAUAUACUGGGAGGCUUGGAGGACAUGGCUAAAAAUACAGCAAAAUUACUCCAGUUAUAGUAUCAUGGAACUUCUGAGUCACUGCAGAACUCAUAGAACAAAAUGAAAUGAUCAAAGUAGAACAUAUUUAAAACACACGCACACACUGAAGCAACCCUAGUUUUUUGACAUAAUAUCCUCUAAGGACAAAAACAUAGAUUGUGACCAAGACUAAUGGUGCAGAUUUUACUCUAAUUUCCGGUAGUGGAAUUUCAAAGCCAAGAACUAUUGUUGAACUUGAAUCUCACCAUUUCACAGAGCAGCCAAUCCCGCUUUGACUCAUUCGUCCCCUAACAGAAAGAGAUCUUCAAAAUAGCACGGCGGAGCUUCUGAUGGCUGAAGUGCUGCUGAGUAGAACUUGUGCUUUAAUUUCCUUUCUGGUCUUUGUUGACCGUUGUGGCACUGUGAACUGUUGCUUUAUCUCGUAUUUUUUUUUCUGUUAUUGUAGUUGUACAUUUUAAAUACAAUCUUUCUAUUGAGAAAUAUCACACUGACGGUGAAUAAAUAUUAUUCAUGCAAGUAACUAUCCUUCCAGCUAUCCCCAAAUCAUCCUUUUCAUGUUCCUGCUCAAUGAAACUUUCAAAAUCAUUUAUUCACUCAUAUUUCUUGGCAAGUUUUCCUUGAUUGCCUGCUGUGUAGAAGCAGAGAAAGUGACAGGGUGAUGUCCUCCAUUGCUAUUAAAGCCCCAAAGGGCUUUGCCCAGGGUUCCGCUUGUUUUUUAGUGAACUGUGAGGUGGAAUUACCCAGGAUUAUCACAUGGUUAGCCCUGUUGACUGACUCUGCCUAGAUACCCAGAACCCUGGAGUGUUCUUCACGCUAACAGUCCUUUCUUCCUGUGCUUCUAGAGACCAGGCAGAAGUUACCAACUUCCCGGAAUAAUUGUCAGCUGUGCGUUUUGGUUGUUUGGGUUUAGCUUCCUCUCCGUUCUCUAAAUAUUUUCUUUUUCAAAGUGCCUCACUUCCUUUGUUAGAAACUAAGUUUCCCUGACCUUCUCUUUUCCUUUCUGUUUCUAAUGGUCCUUGAAAUGAAAAUAGUUCGUUGAGUUUCCUUAUGUGUACUUGGGCAGCCUACUCAAUGACUCCUGGGAGAAUAAUAGCUGGUGACCUGUGGCGCUCUCCGUUGAGAGAGAAUGCGCAGUUUGCAUUUUGGCAGCUAAACAUAGGGAUGGAUUUAAAAACGAAUGUGUAAGUAGCUGGAUAAUAAUUUCCAGUAUGAUGUCAACAUUUCUUUAAAACAAAGCCUUAAUUUCUAAUCUUCUGUCACUUUGGUCUCAAGGAUGAGUUUGCCUUUAUGAAUGUAAUAUGGCAAUCUUGAAAGCCUUACCUCAAGUCAAAUAUUUCUUCUUGAAGAUGUUCUACUUUGCAAGGUACUGCCCACAGGAACGUAUACCCUAAAUAAUGACUUUUUUUGUUGUUGUUGGCUUCAAAUUCUGGAUUUAGUUUUAUUUUCUCCUAAAAUUGUGAGUGUAGUCGUGAUUGCUUUUUUACUACCAUGUCAUACUAUUUCCUCCUUGGGGGUCCUAUGCAAAUUGCGUAUGGUCCCAUCCACUUCAUUUGGUACUUCCCUUAUGAACUAGAAAUCUUCCAAAUGGUUCUUUGCAUAUCCUGAUCGGACAUAUUCUCACUGAAGUCUCAGGACCAACCCCCGCACCUUGUCAUAUGUGUAUGACUUAGUUUUUGACUUCCUGGCUUAGUGCUUUCUGGUUUAGGGUUGCUAUAAUUAUUGUCUUCAGCAAUUGUUCAUUUUUCUUUCUUUUUAUCCAUUACUUCUUUUAUGUCGAAAUUUCCCCACGUGAUCAAGUAAUUAUUCUUUGUAACUUUUCUUGGCAGAGAUCAGCCCGGAUUUCUUACUGUGGAUGUGGCUUUGAUUUGUGUCCUAGUCCUUUUUUGUUCCCAAAAUAGCCCAAGGAGUCCAUUCCUUCUACCAAACAACCAACCAUCUGAGUGAAAUAAAUAUGUUUAGCUACUUGAUUGAGCCACUAUUAGAUGGGGGUUAAAUUGCCAUAUACUGUGGAUUUCAGGCAUCUUAGUAUGUAGGUCAAAUUCUCUAGUGUAUUACUAGUUUGAUGGAUUACUUUAUUUUUAGUGGCCUAACUACAUGAAGUUAUGUGUUUAAAAUGUGGCUGGAAUCUAUAGGAUAAACAGUUGCAACUCUAAUAACAUGGCUACAAAUCUCCAGCUUAAUAUGUGAUAAUAAAUACAUUGUAGUAUUGGGUUGAAGAGGAUUGUAUAGGAAGCAGAAAAACCGAGAUCUGUCCCAGCACUGCUACAACACACCUCUUUUUACCCAUCUAGGCCUGAGUUUCUCAUUGGUACAAUGAGGAAUUCAACUAUAGUUUCUGAGGCCUUGUCUAGCUCUGAAAAGCUAGGAUUCUACUUUCAAAUGGAUAUCAGCUGCCACUUCUUGACUUUGGAAGACGGUGUAGACCAUUAAAGGAUCCUUCUUCAAAUUUCUAUGUCUCUUCUUUUUUUUGGAGAUAGAGUCUCGCUGUUUCGCCCAGGCGGGAGUGCAGUGGUGCGGUCUCGGCUCACUGAAAGCUCCGCCUCCUGGGUUCACGCCAUUCUCCUGCCUCAGCCUCCCGAGUAGCUGGGAGUACAGGUGCCCGCCACCACGCCCAGCUAUUUUUUCUGUAUUUUUAGUAGAGAUGGGGUUUCACUGUGUUAGCCAGGAUGGUCUUGAUCUCCUGACCUGGUGAUCUGCCAGCCUUGGCCUCCCAAAGUGCUGGGAUUACAGGCGUGAGCCACUGCGCCGGGCCUCUAUGUCUCUUCUUAUCUUUGGUUUCAGAAGACAGUUUAAUCUUAUAGCAGAAAACACUUUUUAGUGAAACAAACUGGAUCUUGCCGUGAAACAAGGAAUAACUGAUUAAUUUGGCAGAAUGACAUCAACUUAUUUAGGUUGCUUUGUUCUAGAUUGUUUUAUUCAGUAAUUAGCUCUUAAGACCCCUGGGAGCCUGUGCUCUACCCAGACACUAACAACAGUCUCUAUCCAGUUGCUGGUUCUGGGUGACGUGAUCUCCCCAUCAAGAUCAACUUACUUCCUGUGGCCCAUUAGGGAAGUGGUGACCUCGGGAGCUAUUUGCCUGUUGAGUGCACACACCUGGAAACAUACUGCUCUCAUUUUUUCAUCCACAUCAGUGAGAAAUGAGUGGCCCGUUAGCAAGAUAUAACUAUGCAAUCAUGCAACAAAGCUGCCUAAUAACAUUUCAUUUAUUACAGGACUAAAAGUUCAUUAUUGUUUGUAAAGGAUGAAUUCA
rnacentral:lncRNA from 10 species